rnacentral:rRNA from 1 species
UACGUAGGUGGCAAGCGUUGUCCGGAAUUAUUGGGCGUAAAGCGCGCGCAGGCGGUUUCUUAAGUCUGAUGUGAAAGCCCACGGCUCAACCGUGGAGGGUCAUUGGAAACUGGGGGACUUGAGUACAGAAGAGGAAAGCGGAAUUCCACGUGUAGCGGUGAAAUGCGUAGAGAUGUGGAGGAACACCAGUGGCGAAGGCGGCUUUCUGGUCUGUAACUGACACUGAGGCGCGAAAGCGUGGGGAGCAAACAGG